CGCCAUAAACAAAGUCUGCUACAAAUUUUGAUGCCAGUGGAAAUUACUAAACCAAUAAUAGGGACCCUGUAAAGAAAUUGAUGAGGUGGGAUGAGAUCUAGACCAGGAUUCUAUGCUGUGGCUAACUCAACCACUCCAUUAAGGUAGCUGCCUAUAAAUGCAGGGUGGAAACCACUGCAGAUUCUAAAUUUGUACACCACUGAAUACCCAAAAUGAUGAAGAUUAUCAUGAUCAUAAGC
rnacentral:lncRNA from 1 species